rnacentral:rRNA from 1 species
CCGCGUGAGUGAUGAAGGUUUUCGGAUCGUAAAGCUCUGUUGCCAGGGAAGAACGUCUUGGAGAGUAACUGCUCUAAGAGUGACGGUACCUGAGAAGAAAGCCCCGGCUAACUACGUGCCAGCAGCCGCGGUAAUACGUAGGGGGCGAGCGUUGUCCGGAAUUAUUGGGCGUAAAGCGCGCGCAGGCGGCUGUUUAAGUCUGGUGUUUAAUCCUGGGGCUCAACCCCGGGUCGCACUGGAAACUGGACGGCUUGAGUGCAGAAGAGGAGAGUGGAAUUCCACGUGUAGCGGUGAAAUGCGUAGAGAUGUGGAGGAACACCAGUGGCGAAGG